GGUUCUCCUGGGAUCUUCUAUUGGUUCCUAUGGCUCUCUAUUGACCCCUAUGGGUCUCUAUUGGUCUAUACUGGUUUCUACUGGUCCAUACUGGUUUCUACUGGUCUAUACUGGUUUAUACUGGUCCAUACUGGUCUAUACUGGUCUAUACUGGUCUAUACUGGUCCAUACUGGUGUGGGAAGGGGUUGGACAAUGGGUUCUCCUGGGAUCUUCUACUGGUUCCUAUGGGCCUCUAUUGACCACUAUGGGUCCCUAUUGGUCCAUACUGGUUUCUACUGGUCCUUACUGGUCCAUACUGGUCUAUACUGGUCCAUACUGGUCCAUACUGGUCUAUACUGGUCUAUACUGGUGUUUGAUAGGGGUGCAACAAUGGGCUCUCCUGGCAUCUUCUAUUGCUUCCUAUGGCUCUCUAUGGACCUCUAUGGGUCCCUAUUGGUCUAUACUGGUUUCUACUGGUCCAUACUGGUUCAUACUGGUCUAUACUGGUCCAUACUGGUCCAUACUGGUCCAUACUGGUGUGGGAAGGGGUUGGACAAUGGGUUCUCCUGGGAUCUUCUAUUGGUUCCUAUGGGUCUCUAUUCACCUCUAUGGGUCCGUAGCGGCCCAUACUGGUCCCUAUUGGUCUAUACUGGUUUCUACAGGUCCAUACUGGUUUCUACUGGUCCAUACUGGUCUAUACUGGUCCAUACUGGUGUUGGAAGGGGUUGGACAAUGGGUUCUCCUGGGAUCUUCUAUUGGUUCCUAUGGGUCUCUAUUGACCUCUAUGGGUCCGUUGUGGCCCAUACUGGUCCCUAUUGGUCCAUACUGGUUUCUACUGGUCCAUACUGGUCUAUACUGGUUCCUACUGGUCCAUACUGGUCUAUACUGGUCCAUACUGGUUUAUACUGGUCCAUACUGGUCCAUACUGGUGUGGGAAGGGGUUGGACAAUGGGUUCUCCUGGGAUCUUCUAUU
ensembl:lncRNA